rnacentral:lncRNA from 1 species
UCUUUCCUGGAUUAGCAAAGACAUCCAGUUUUAGUGUAGUAAAUGAAAAUCUACUAUGAAAAUGAAGCAGCUAAUGUAACAUGACCGCAAUUAUGGCCAAUAGCAUAUGAUCAUGCUAACAGGACAAAGUAAAGUAACAGAAGGCAGCUUUUAGAGUCAGAAACUUACCAGAUCAUUAUAAGAGGAGUUAUAGCAUGGAUUUUGCUCAUCGGCACUGUUAUAACCCUCAUUGUCCACAUGGGACCUGGGAGAUGAUGGCCUUGACCCUGUAGGUGAACUCCUAGCAGAAACAACAGGCCAAGCAUGUGCCCUUCUAGAUGAUCCAGUUCGAACAAAAUCGGGCAAGAAUCUCCUAGGAUUAGAGCUUGCUGAUAAAA